AAGAUCUUUACCUGCUGAUAAGGCUUGUCUAAAGAGGAAAGUUUUCAAGCCAGUUUUAAAAUCGGACAAUGAUUGCGGGGCUCUCAAAUAGUCUGGGAGAGAGUUCCAAAGACGAGGAGCAGCCACAGCAAAUGCUCGAUCACCCAUAGUCCUUAGUCUUGAUCAAGGAAGGUGGAGAAGAUUGCUGGAUUGGGAUCGUAGGGGUCUAGAAGUUGAAUGUGAAGUAAGGAGGUCCUUCAGGUAAUCUGGUGAGGUUCCAUGUAGACAGUGAUGGGUGAUAAGUGCAAUUUUAUACUGAAUCCUAUAAGUUACAGGAAGCC